AACUUAGUAGAUUAGAUAGAUCAUAAUGUUGAAGCCGUUAAGGAAGGUUUUACCUUUAAGUUA
rnacentral:tRNA from 1 species